AUGGAGUGCUUGCACUCCUGAUGCUUAGCGGCGGACGGGUGAGUAAUACGUAGGUAACCUGCCCUUAAGACCGGGAUAACUCACGGAAACGUGGGCUAAUACCGGAUAGGCGAUUUCCUCGCAUGAGGGAAUCGGGAAAGGCGGAGCAAUCUGCCACUUAUGGAUGGACCUACGGCGCAUUAGCUAGUUGGUGGGGUAACGGCUCACCAAGGCGACGAUGCGUAGCCGACCUGAGAGGGUGAUCGGCCACACUGGGACUGAGACACGGCCCAGACUCCUACGGGAGGCAGCAGUAGGGAAUCUUCCGCAAUGGACGCAAGUCUGACGGAGCAACGCCGCGUGAGUGAUGAAGGUUUUCGGAUCGUAAAGCUCUGUUGCCAGGGAAGAACGCUAUGGAGAGUAACUGUUCCAUAGGUGACGGUACCUGAGAAGAAAGCCCCGGCUAACUACGUGCCAGCAGCCGCGGUAAUACGUAGGGGGCAAGCGUUGUCCGGAAUUAUUGGGCGUAAAGCGCGCGCAGGCGGUCAUGUAAGUCUGGUGUUUAAACCCGGGGCUCAACUCCGGGUCGCAUCGGAAACUGUGUGACUUGAGUGCAGAAGAGGAAAGUGGAAUUCCACGUGUAGCGGUGAAAUGCGUAGAGAUGUGGAGGAACACCAGUGGCGAAGGCGACUUUCUGGGCUGUAACUGACGCUGAGGCGC
rnacentral:rRNA from 1 species